rnacentral:rRNA from 1 species
ACCAAACCAUGAAACCAACAUAAACAUUAUUGCCCGGCGUACGGGGAAGGACGUCAAUAGUCACACAGUCCUUGACGGUAUAAUAACCACCAUCAUGGCGACCAUCCAAAGGAUAAACAUCAUAGGCAGUCGGGAGGGUAGUCGGAACCGAAGAAGACUCAAAGCGAACCAAACAGGCAAAAAAUUUAGGGUCGGCAUCAAAAGCAAUAUCAGCACCAACAGAAACAACCUGAUUAGCGGCGUUGACAGAUGUAUCCAUCUGAAUGCAAUGAAGAAAACCACCAUUACCAGCAUUAACCGUCAAACUAUCAAAAUAUAACGUUGACGAUGUAGCUUUAGGUGUCUGUAAAACAGGUGCCGAAGAAGC